AGCAACUUAUCAUUAUUAUUUUCUACUCAUAAAAUGGUGACAUUAUUAAAAUAGUUUGUAUUAACAACUAGGUUCACAAAACAGAGAAGUUUUUAUUGGAUACGGACUUUAAAAAAAAUAUUACACUGCUAUUGGCUAGAAGUCCCAAUUUCCAAAUUCCGUGAAAAAGAUGGCGUUUUAAAUCGAAAACGAGGUCGGUGAC
rnacentral:lncRNA from 1 species